AAGAGAAGUCUUGCAAUUCUACUCUCUUUUCUGAUGCCUGUUGUGCUCUUCAAGGCUGGAGAGAGAAACUGAACCAAUGGAAUUUCAUUUUGCAAAGAAAGAAUAUGAAACAUCUUCUCUAGUUCCAAUCUGCACAUUGUAAAGAUCAGAACUAAAGACAACAACUACAUUAAAAGGAAUAAAGAAAUGAGUAGCCUCCUGUGCAGGUGUUAUGCCAUUCCAUUUUUUUUUGUAUUGAAAACAUUUUAAUAACUAAAUGUCUUCUCUGUUGAUUAUCUGUUUAUCCUAAGACUUUUAUUGACUUGCUCAAGUGAUUAUCAUUGAUUCUUCACAUGUAGAGAUCUUCUUAGUUCUUAUCUACAUGGGCAAUAUCUUAUUCCUUUAGAGAUAGUGAUGAGACACUUUGAAAGUCAUGAAAUAACAUCUCCU
rnacentral:lncRNA from 1 species